UACGUAGGCAGCGAGCGUUGUUCGGAGUUACUGGGCGUAAAGAGUGCGUAGGCGGUUUUCUAAGUUUGGUGUGAAAUCUCCCGGCUUAACUGGGAGGGUGCGCCGAAGACUGGAAGGCUUGAGUAUGGGAGAGGUAAGCGGAAUUCCUGGUGUAGCGGUGAAAUGCGUAGAUAUCGAGAGGAACACCGGUGGCGAAGGCGGCCUUCUGGACAGUGACUGACGCUGAGACGCGAAAGCGUGGGGAGCAAACAGG
rnacentral:rRNA from 1 species